GAUGAACGCUAGCUACAGGCUACACAUGCAAGUCGAGGGGCAGCAUGGUCUUAGCUUGCUAAGGCUGAUGGCGACCGGCGCACGGGUGAGUAACACGUAUCCAACCUGCCGUCUACUCUUGGACAGCCUUCUGAAAGGAAGAUUAAUACAAGAUGGCAUCAUGAGUCCGCAUGUUCACAUGAUUAAAGGUAUUCCGGUAGACGAUGGGGAUGCGUUCCAUUAGAUAGUAGGCGGGGUAACGGCCCACCUAGUCUUCGAUGGAUAGGGGUUCUGAGAGGAAGGUCCCCCACAUUGGAACUGAGACACGGUCCAAACUCCUACGGGAGGCAGCAGUGAGGAAUAUUGGUCAAUGGGCGAGAGCCUGAACCAGCCAAGUAGCGUGAAGGAUGACUGCCCUAUGGGUUGUAAACUUCUUUUAUAAAGGAAUAAAGUCGGGUAUGGAUACCCGUUUGCAUGUACUUUAUGAAUAAGGAUCGGCUAACUCCGUGCCAGCAGCCGCGGUAAUACGGAGGAUCCGAGCGUUAUCCGGAUUUAUUGGGUUUAAAGGGAGCGUAGAUGGAUGUUUAAGUCAGUUGUGAAAGUUUGCGGCUCAACCGUAAAAUUGCAGUUGAUACUGGAUAUCUUGAGUGCAGUUGAGGCAGGCGGAAUUCGUGGUGUAGCGGUGAAAUGCUUAGAUAUCACGAAGAACUCCGAUUGCGAAGGCAGCCUGCUAAGCUGCAACUG
rnacentral:rRNA from 1 species